GGAAAGUCGCACGGUACAGGGUGAUAGUCCCGUACACAAAAAUGCAUAUGUUGUGAGUUCGAUGAGUAGGGCGGGACACGUGACAUCCUGUCUGAAUAUGGGGGGACCAUCCUCCAAGGCUAAAUACUCCUGACUGACCGAUAGUGAACCAGUACCGUGAGGGAAAGGCGAAAAGAACCCCGGCGAGGGGAGUGAAAUAGAACCUGAAACCGUGUACGUACAAGCAGUGGGAGCACCUUCGUGGUGUGACUGCGUACCUUUUGUAUAAUGGGUCAGCGACUUAUAUUUUGUAGCAAGGUUAACCGAAUAGGGGAGCCGUAGGGAAACCGAGUCUUAACUGGGCGAAUAGUUGCAAGGUAUAGACCCGAAACCCGGUGAUCUAGCCAUGGGCAGGUUGAAGGUUGGGUAACACUAACUGGAGGACCGAACCGACUAAUGUUGAAAAAUUAGCGGAUGACUUGUGGCUGGGGGUGAAAGGCCAAUCAAACCGGGAGAUAGCUGGUUCUCCCCGAAAGCUAUUUAGGUAGCGCCUCGUGAACUCAUCUUCGGGGGUAGAGCACUGUUUCGGCUAGGGGGUCAUCCCGACUUACCAAACCGAUGCAAACUCCGAAUACCGAAGAAUGUUAUCACGGGAGACACACGGCGGGUGCUAACGUCCGUCGUGAAGAGGGAAACAACCCAGACCGCCAGCUAAGGUCCCAAAGUCAUGGUUAAGUGGGAAACGAUGUGGGAAGGCAUAGACAGCCAGGAUGUUGGCUUAGAAGCAGCCAUCAUUUAAAGAAAGCGUAAUAGCUCACUGGUCGAGUCGGCCUGCGCGGAAGAUGUAACGGGGCUAAACCAUGCACCGAAGCUGCGGCAGCGACACUUAGGUGUUGUUGGGUAGGGGAGCGUUCUGUAAGCCGUUGAAGGUGACCUGUGAGGGUUGCUGGAGGUAUCAGAAGUGCGAAUGCUGACAUAAGUAACGAUAAUGCGGGUGAAAAACCCGCACGCCGGAAGACCAAGGGUUCCUGUCCAACGUUAAUCGGGGCAGGGUGAGUCGACCCCUAAGGCGAGGCUGAAAAGCGUAGUCGAUGGGAAACAGGUUAAUAUUCCUGUACUUGGUGUUACUGCGAAGGGGGGACGGAGAAGGCUAGGCUAGCCGGGCGACGGUUGUCCCGGUUUAAGCAUGUAGGCGGAGUGACUUGGUAAAUCCGGUUGCUUAUCAACGCUGAGGUGUGAUGACGAGCCACUACGGUGGUGAAGUAGUUGAUGCCAAGCUUCCAGGAAAAGCCUCUAAGCAUCAGGUAACAUUAAAUCGUACCCCAAACCGACACAGGUGGUCAGGUAGAGAAUACUCAGGCGCUUGAGAGAACUCGGGUGAAGGAACUAGGCAAAAUGGUGCCGUAACUUCGGGAGAAGGCACGCUGGCAUUAGGUAAAGAGACUUGCUCUCGGCGCCGAAGCCAGUCGCAGAUACCAGCUGGCUGCAACUGUUUAAUAAAAACACAGCACUGUGCAAACACGAAAGUGGACGUAUACGGUGUGACGCCUGCCCGGUGCUGGAAGGUUAAUUGAUGGGGUCAGCCGCAAGGCGAAGCUCUUGAUCGAAGCCCCAGUAAACGGCGGCCGUAACUAUAACGGUCCUAAGGUAGCGAAAUUCCUUGUCGGGUAAGUUCCGACCUGCACGAAUGGCGUAAUGAUGGCCAGGCUGUCUCCACCCGAGACUCAGUGAAAUUGAACUCGCUGUGAAGAUGCAGUGUACCCGCGGCAAGACGGAAAGACCCCGUGAACCUUUACUAUAGCUUGACACUGAACAUUGAGCCUUGAUGUGUAGGAUAGGUGGGAGGCAUUGAAGUGUGGACGCCAGUCUGCAUGGAGCCAACCUUGAAAUACCACCCUUUAAUGUUUGAUGUUCUAACUCGGCCCCAUAAUCUGGGGUGAGGACAGUGUCUGGUGGGUAGUUUGACUGGGGCGGUCUCCUCCCAAAGAGUAACGGAGGAGCACGAAGGUUAGCUAAUCACGGUCGGACAUCGUGAGGUUAGUGCAAAGGCAUAAGCUAGCUUGACUGCGAGAGUGACGGCUCGAGCAGGUACGAAAGUAGGUCUUAGUGAUCCGGUGGUUCUGAAUGGAAGGGCCAUCGCUCAACGGAUAAAAGGUACUCCGGGGAUAACAGGCUGAUACCGCCCAAGAGUUCAUAUCGACGGCGGUGUUUGGCACCUCGAUGUCGGCUCAUCACAUCCUGGGGCUGAAGUAGGUCCCAAGGGUAUGGCUGUUCGCCAUUUAAAGUGGUACGCGAGCUGGGUUUAGAACGUCGUGAGACAGUUCGGUCCCUAUCUGCCGUGGGCGUUGGAAGAUUGAGAGGGGCUGCUCCUAGUACGAGAGGACCGGAGUGGACGAAUCACUGGUGUUCGGGUUGUCAUGCCAAUGGCAUUGCCCGGUAGCUAAAUUCGGAAGAGAUAACCGCUGAAAGCAUCUAAGCGGGAAACUUGCCUCGAGAUGAGUCUUCCCUGGGGCUUUAAGCCCCCUGAAGGAACGUUAAAGACUAUGACGUUGAUAGGCUGGGUGUGUAAGUGCAGCGAUGCAUUGAGCUAACCAGUACUAAUGAUCCGU
rnacentral:rRNA from 1 species